AUGUUAACUAUCUCCCAUACCUCUCAUGAGUUUAUGGAAGACUUGAAGGAGGCAGAUUUGUGUGCUGCACUUGUUGUGAAGGGAGAAGAGCACCUGACUGUUGAAAUUCCAGCAAAGGUACGUGGUUUAUUGGCAGAAUUUCAGAACAUACUUGGGGAGCCACAUGGCUUGCCACCGAUGAGAGGAAUUCAACAUAGAAUUGACUUAAUUCCGGGAGCAAGUCUUCCUAAUCUUCCACACUAUCGAAUGAGCCCAAAGGAGCAUGAUAUAUUGAAGGAGAAAGUGGAGGAAUUGUUGCAAAAGGGGCACAUUCGAGAAAGUAUUAGCCCAUGUGCUGUACCAGCCCUACUCGCGCCAAAGAAAGAUGGAUCUUGGCGCAUGUGUACGGACAGUAGAGCCGUUAACAAGAUCACCGUAAGGUAUAGAUUCCCUAUUCCCCGUCUGGAUGAUAUGUUGGAUCAGCUUAGUGGAGCAAGAGUGUUCACAAAGCUAGAUUUAAGAAGUGGAUAUCAUCAAAUCCGUAUAAGACCCGGGGAUGAAUGGAAGACCGCCUUCAAGACAAAGGAAGGGUUGUUUGAAUGGCUAGUCAUGCCAUUUGGACUCUCAAAUGCACCAAGUACCUUUAUGCACUUAAUGAAUCAAGUCCUUAGACCCUUCUUAUCCCACUUUGUUGUGGUCUAUUUCGAUGACAUCUUGAUCUAUAGCAAGGAUGAGGAUGAACACUUUGAUCACAUUCGGAAGGUGCUAGAAGUACUAAGGAAAAAUGAGCUCUACGUCAACUUGAAGAAAUGUGUUUUCCUGCAAACACAACUUCUUUUCCUAGGAUUCGUCAUAACAUGUGACAGCAUUCGUGUUGAUGAUUCUAAGGUUGAAGCAAUCCGAGAAUGGCCAACUCUUAAGACCGUUUCUGAGGUAAGAAGCUUUCAUGGCCUUGCAACUUUCUAUAGGCGAUUUGUUAAGAAUUUCAGCACUAUCAUGGCACCAAUUACCAAGUGUUUGAAGAAAGGAAAGUUCCAAUGGGCAGAAGCAGCUGAAGCUAGCUUCAAUGAGAUUAAACAAAAGCUAUCACAAGCUCCUGUCUUGGUACUACCUGAUUUCAACAAGACUUUUGAGUUGGAGUGUGAUGCAAGUGGAGUAGGCAUUGGAGCUGUCCUAUCUCAAGAAAGGAAGCCCAUUGCUUUCUUUAGUGAGAAGUUAAGUGAAGCUAGACAGAAAUGGAGUACCUAUCAGCAAGAAUUAUACGCCGUUUUCAGAGCGUUGAAAACUUGGGAAGUCUAUUUGCUGCCUAAAGAGUUCAUUGUUUAUAGCGACCAUCAAUCCUUGAAGCAUUUUAGAAAUCAAAGGCAUGUUGACCGCAUGCUAGCAAGAUGGGCAGCAUAUCUGGAGAGAUUUAACUAUCUCAUCAUGCAUAAAUCUGGAAUAACUAACAGAGUGGCCGAUGCUUUGAGUCGUCGUGCAUGCCUCUUGACUUCUUUUGAAGCUGAACUUCCGGGCAUGGAUCAAAUAAAGGAGUUGUAUGAGGGUGACGAAGACUUUGGCCAUGUUUGGGUAAAGCACGCAAGGGGCCAACCAUUAGGUGAUGACUAUUUGAUGCAAGAUGGAUAUCUCUUCAAAAAUGAUCGUUUGUGCAUUCCAAGAAGUUCUUUACGUGACAUGCUAGUUAGAGAGCUCCAUUCAAGUGAUCUUAGUGGCCAUGUUGGACGGGACAAGACUACCGCUAACCUGGAAGCUCGCUACUUUUGGCCACAACUAAAAAGAGAUGCUGGAAAGUUCGUUCAACGGUGCCCCGUAUGUCAGACCUGCAAAGGCCAAGUCCAGAACACAGGGUUAUACAUGCCUUUGCCUGUUCCUGUCGCUCCAUGGGAGAACACUUCUAUGGACUUCGUCUUGGGCUUGCCAAGAACAAGACGAGGAAGUGAUGCUGUAUUUGUGGUCGUGGAUAGAUUCUCUAAGAUGGCUCAUUUCAUCCCAUGCCGCAAAACAACGGAUGCUCAUCAUGUGGCAAACCUAUUCUUUCGAGAAGUGGUCAGACUUCAUGGAGUACCAAGGUCCAUCGUCUCAGACCGUGAUAGCAAGUUUCUUGCUGCAUUUUGGCUCACUUUGUGGAAGCAAUUCAACACUGAAUUGAAAUUUUCUAGCACUGCUCAUCCACAAACAGAUGGACAAACGGAAGUGUGA
rnacentral:rRNA from 1 species